UACAGAGGUCUCAAGCGUUGUUCGGAUUCAUUGGGCGUAAAGGGUGCGUAGGCGGCGCGGUAAGUCGGGUGUGAAAUCUUGGAGCUUAACUCCGAAACUGCAUUCGAUACUGCCGUGCUUGAGGACUGGAGAGGAGACUGGAAUUUACGGUGUAGCGGUGAAAUGCGUAGAUAUCGUAAGGAAGACCAGUGGCGAAGGCGGGUCUCUGGGCCGAUACUGACGCUGAGGAACGAAAGCGUGGGGAGCGAACAGG
rnacentral:rRNA from 1 species